rnacentral:rRNA from 1 species
AUGUGGACCCGUCUUCGUCAGCGCUAUCAGCCCUCUGGUGAUGCCUUAUACCUUUCUAUGGUCCGUCAGGAGCAUGCUCUUCAGCAGGGUGACUCUACUGUUGAUGACUUCUAUGCACAGAGUUCUGCUAUCUGGCGCCAGCUUGAUUCUCUCCGCAGUGCUGGUUGUCGUACCUGCCCCUGUUGCCAGGCUGCCCAGGCCAAUUUGGAGUUUCACCGCGUCUAUGAGUUCCUGUCUCGGCUCCGUAAGGAGUUUGAGCCCCGGCAUGCUCAGUUGUUUGCUCGUGGCCGUAUUUCUCUCAUGGAGGCGCUUUCUGAGAUUCGUGCUGAGGAGACUCGCUUACGUGGUGCUGGUUUGCUGGAGGUUCCCUCUGUGCUCGCUACUCGUGCUCCUACGCCACCUGCUGCACCGACCCCUUCUCGCUCGAGUGCUCCGCCGCUCUUGCCCACUCCUUCUGGAGGCUUAGGUCGCCCCCGUCCACAUUGCGACUAUUGCAACAAUGAUGGUCAUCUUGAGUCUCAGUGCUACACGAAGAAGAUACACCUGCGCCAGGCGCGAUCAUCAUCUUCAGGGACUUUGUCA